UAUGGCCAUAUCACGUUGAAACAUCGGUUCUCGUCCGAUCACCGAAGUUAAACAACAUCAAGCUUGGUCAAUACAUAGAUGGGUGACCGCUUGGAAAUACCAGGUGCUGUAAG
rnacentral:rRNA from 1 species